rnacentral:rRNA from 1 species
AGGGCACCACCAGGAGUGGAGCCUGCGGCUUAAUUUGACUCAACACGGGAAAACUCACCCGGCCCGGACACUGUAAGGAUUGACAGACUGAGAGCUCUUUCUUAAUUCAGUGGGUGGUGGUGCAUGGCCGUUCUUAGUUGGUGGAGCGAUUUGUCUGGUUAAUUCCGAUAACGAACGAGACUCUGGCCUAUUAAAUAGACGAGAUAUUACUCUGUAUCUCGCGCUUCUUAGAGGGACAAGCGGCGUCUAGUCGCAUGAAAAAGAGCAAUAACAGGUCUGUGAUGCCCUUAGAUGUCCGGGGCUGCACGCGCGCUACACUGAAAGAAUCAGUGGGCGUUUUACCUGGUUCAGAAGAACCGGGUAACCCAAGUAAUUUCUUUCGUGCUUGGGAUAGGGAAUUGCAAUUAUUUCCCUUAAACGAGGAAUUCCCAGUAAACGCGGGUCAUAAGCUCGUGUUGAUUACGUCCCUGCCCUUUGUACACACCGCCCGUCGCUACUACCGAUUGGAUGACUUAGUGA